rnacentral:rRNA from 1 species
UGGCCUUGACAUUGAUAGAACACAGUAGAGAUAGAGUGGUGCCCUUCGGGGAAAUUGAAAACAGGUGCUGCACGGCUGUCGUCAGCUCGUGUCGUGAGAUGUUGGGUUAAGUCCCGCAACGAGCGCAACCCUCGUCAAUAGUUGCCAGCAGGUUAAGCUGGGCACUCUAUUGAGACUGCCUUCGCAAGGAGGAGGAAGGUGAGGACGACGUCAAGUCAUCAUGGCCCUUAUGGCUAGGGCUACACACGUGCUACAAUGGGGCGUACAGAGAGUUGCGAUACCGCGAGGUGGAGCCAAUCUCAUAAAGCGUCUCUCAGUUCGGAUUGAAGUCUGCAACUCGACUUCAUGAAGCUGGAAUCACUAGUAAUCGUAGAUCAGCAAUGCUACGGUGAAUACGUUCCCGGGUCU